AACCCUAGCGCAGCCAGAGAGAGAGGAGGAGUGAAGAACGUCAAAUAUCAUCACCACCGCCGCUCUGUCCACCUUCGUUUCACACCCAUCCAUUGUUGUCGAAGAACUGUAGGAAUAUCAAUAAGAGAGACAUAUUUGGAAGAAUUAACGAGUUUGCUAUGGUAGAAGAGUGGUAGAAGAGGUAGAAGGCUCUGAGUUUGCUAUGGUAUUAUGGAUGGUAGCUGCUUUUCUUAUUUGGGUCGCUGUUUUGUUUCAAUCCAGACUGUAUUGUCUCGUAUUUAAACUUAGAUUAAAACAAGUUUUGCUACUUAAUUGUAUUUCUUGUUUCUGAGUUGGCCUAAUAUUCUACCUAAGUUUAUUUACAUCUA